ensembl:lncRNA
GUCACGCUCCUCCUAUAUCAAGCAGCACAUGGUUGAUUUCUUAUUUUUUUGCGUUGGACCGACCAAUGCGGUCCGAACUGCCGUCAAUCUCCGUCCACCAAUGGCGCGCUUCAACAGGACCACCGCAGUCCACCGACUGACUCACUUGACUCUGGGGGGGCCCCCUUUGGGCCCCCCCGGAUCAGACUAGUUCACUGUGUAACCUAGAAACCGAAUGCUGUGGUAACUAUGUUAACAUGAUGUAGUACUCUGCCCCUACAAUCAUAUUCUGGUCCAAACCCGGUAAGAAACUUUGGCAUGGAGCAGCAGUUUGACAUUUUGUGUCUGUUACAAUAUUCAUUUAGCGUCUUGUGAUUCGUGCUAGCUCACCUGCGACAUUUGAGAGACGGGCUAGCUAGGCAGAACAAAUCAAAGCAUUGAAUCAAUAUUUGAGUAAAUUCACAUCGGCAAAUUUACUAAAAUGCAAUGACUUGAGUUUUACCGCAGAUGGUGCUGUUGCUUUAUUUUUGGCGUUUGAAUGCCAGCAAUGUCCAGUCAUAUUAGAAAUCCUCUCCUGUUGGUGGUUCUUACGCGUGAGGCCUCUCCUGGGCUGGAGGAAAGGUCUCCAUGCAGGUCCCCAGACUGGCUGGGCCGUCCCACAGAGAUUGAGACUAGCUUCACCCCAGUUCUGCACUCAACGCGGUUAGAACAAGGGUUGGUAGCUAAGAAGGCGGUAUUCACAUGGAUUAGCAGCGCUGUUCUCUGAAGAUUGGAAAUGGUUAAGUAUUUUCAGUGUCCGGCCCAUGUUUUGCUGUGAUGGUGGUGUACAUUGGGUUGUCCAAAUGUAUUCCUGUGUAAAACUGAUUGCAUCAAUCCUGGAGCAUGAAGAUGGACCAGUUGAUCUAGGACUGACCGGCCCAGUGACUGACUGACAACCACUUGUUGCUUCAUAAAUAAACUUAUUUUGUAUUUACUGAUUUUAUGUUGUGGUUUUGCUUUUACUCCGGUAAAUGGUUCAUAAUGAACUCUGUUCAGUGUCUAAGUUCAAGUUGGAUGCCAAGUAAGAAUUACCAGCACUUUGUUGGUUUCUUGAUCUAGCAGAGCUGUGUGUCUUCAUCAUUACUUUGGUCAUGCACAAACUCACGGACACACAGACUGGCAAACACUUAAAGGAGACGGUGUUUAUGGUGUUUUCCCAACAAAUAAACAUAGUAUGAGUUCCAGAAAACAUGUUUUAGAAGCUGUUUGCUGGAAAUAGCUUUUAGGAAAU